rnacentral:rRNA from 1 species
UGGGGAAUCUUGCGCAAUGGGCGAAAGCCUGACGCAGCCAUGCCGCGUGAAUGAUGAAGGUCUUAGGAUUGUAAAAUUCUUUCACCGGGGACGAUAAUGACGGUACCCGGAGAAGAAGCCCCGGCUAACUUCGUGCCAGCAGCUGCGGUAAUACGAAGGGGGCUAGCGUUGCUCGGAAUUACUGGGCGUAAAGGGAGCGUAGGCGGACAUUUAAGUCAGGGGUGAAAUCCCGGGGCUCAACCUCGGAAUUGCCUUUGAUACUGGGUGUCUUGAGUAUGAGAGAGGUGUGUGGAACUCCGAGUGUAGAGGUGAAAUUCGUAGAUAUUCGGAAGAACACCAGUGGCGAAGGCGGCACACUGGCUCAUUACUGACGCUGAGGCUCGAAAGCGUGGGGAGCAAACAGGAUUAGAUACCCUGGUAGUCCACGCCGUAAACGAUGAUUGCUAGUUGUCGGGAUGCAUGCAUUUCGGUGACGCAGCUAACGCAUUAAGCAAUCCGCCUGGGGAGUACGGUCGCAAGAUUA